AUCAAGAGGUUGGUAUCUAGAGUGAAAACUCGAGUUCCAGGAGAAAACGCUCUUAGAUACAGGACCUGCAACAAAAACUUUAACCAGGUCCGGACGCCAACGCCGAUGCCGGGGUAUACAUGUAGCAUGAUCAUUAGACUUCGUCUCGGUGAGCUAAAGAAUAAAUUCAAAAUUGUAUUCCACGGCUAAACCUGUAAACCGAAUGGGCAUUUGUGCUCAGUAUUUUAUCCUCAUAUCUUCUUUAAAUAAACAUCAACUGUGACACUUAUAUUGCCCCUUUCGGGGCCAGGGAUCCCGAGGGGACCCCGUGUCCCUUGGAAUCCGGUUUUACCUGAGUGGACAAGUCCUAAAAUUAAUAUAGUUUGAGCGCUAGGCGAUCUGUUAAGAUUAUUCUUUUUCAAUCGGGAUCGGAAAAAAUCGUAUAUAUAGGCGAUAAAUCUAAACAAAUUCGUUAUUGCUGAGCAGCUUUGUACCUACUCUUUGGUCAAGACUGUCGUUUGCACUCGAAAAUAUUAUUUUAAAAGAGACAAUUCAUGUAUUGUUUAAUCAAGUUGUUUGAUUUAGUGAUUAUAGAUUGAAUGUACUUCUACUACAGAAAAGUAUUUUCACAAAUUUUGGAUUUCGAACAUAAAGUAAAUACGUUGAAACACACAAACUGCAAUGAAAAUGAAUAGGCAUGUGUGUAGACGGAUCCCCCUGUGCUUGCAAAACAUGGGAUUCAAUUUCAGGCACUGUAAAUUAUUCCAUUGUAACGGUGUACUGUUUGACCAAAAUGCAGUGACUUUUGAAAAUAUUUUGUCUGAAGAGAACAAACUUAGAGUUCUAAAAGCACUUCAGAAGUAUGACUUGCCUUCUUUGAGAAAAGUGACAGUAGCUGGGGAUCAUAGGAAGGCAGCUGUAUUAAUCCCACUGUGCUCUGUAAAAGGAGAACCAUCUAUUCUGUUUAUGGUGCGGUCCAAUAAAAUCCCUGCCCACCGAGGAGAGGUGAGUAUUUCUAAACCAAGACAUUGUACUGGACCUGCUGACAGGUCAACUCCUGUCAGGAGAAGGAAACUGGGGAUGUAUCAUCAAGGGCAAGGAUCAUUUGAUGUACAUGACAGGCUUAGAUGCUGCAUCUGAGUGUUUUCCAGGAGGAAUGAUGGAUGAUACAGAUCAUGACUUGAUAACAACAGCUUUGCGGGAGACACAGGAAGAAAUUGGUUUGAAAAUUCCCAGAGAAGCUGUUUGGGGAUCACUUCAGAGCUUACCAAGCAGAAAUGGAAAAACUUUGGUGACUCCAAUUAUAGCAAGCAUUGGUGAACUACAGAACCAUAAUCUACACCUGAACAAGACUGAGGUAGAACGUGUUUUUACAAGGACAAUUUCAUCUCUUUGUGAUAGAAAAAAUGUUGGAUCCACUCAAUUUAAAAGAGGAAAGUUACCAUCACUCAAAUCUGGCUAUACGCUUCCUGUAUAUCUUGGGGGAGAACAUCGAAUAUGGGGACUAACUGCAAUUACUCUACACAUGUUGUUGCCGAUUCUGGCCCCAGGACUAUACAAAUUUAAUUUGUUGCAUAAAAAUUGAUUAUAUGAAGUACAUGUUAAAUGAUUUAUAGUCAUUCUGAAUUACCAUCGGUGAAUAUGAUGAAUGUUUUUGAUUUAUGUACACUGAUAUCUAAUUUAUUCACUAUUGUUAUGCUAUUGUGGAUAUGUAAAUACAUUUUCAUUGGAAAUCUU
rnacentral:misc_RNA from 1 species